ncrna:unclassified sequences D12-methyl RNA
CGUUGCAAAGCCUGCUACUUUGCAAUGGGUGAUCCCGGCAUAGCAUAAACCGGGAGGGCGGGAACG